rnacentral:rRNA from 1 species
UGGGGAAUUUUGGACAAUGGGCGAAAGCCUGAUCCAGCAAUGCCGCGUGUGUGAAGAAGGCCUUCGGGUUGUAAAGCACUUUUGUCCGGAAAGAAAUCCUUGGCUCUAAUACAGUCGGGGGAUGACGGUACCGGAAGAAUAAGCACCGGCUAACUACGUGCCGGCAGCCGCGGUAAUACGUAGGGUGCAAGCGUUAAUCGGAAUUACUGGGCGUAAAGCGUGCGCAGGCGGUUUGCUAAGACCGAUGUGAAAUCCCCGGGCUCAACCUGGGAACUGCAUUGGUGACUGGCAGGCUAGAGUAUGGCAGAGGGGAUAGAAUUCCACGUGUAGCAGUGAAAUGCGUAGAGAUGUGGAGGAAUACCGAUGGCGAAGGCAGCCCCCUGGGCCAAUACUGACGCUCAUGCACGAAAGCGUGGGGAGCAAACAGGAUUAGAUACCCUGGUAGUCCACGCCCUAAACGAUGUCAACUAGUUGUUGGGGAUUCAUUUCCUUAGUAACGUAGCUAACGCGUGAAGUUGACCGCCUGGGGAGUACGGUCGCAAGAUUAAAACUCAAAGGAAUUGA